rnacentral:misc_RNA from 1 species
GAUGAAGAACGUAGCGAAAUGCGAUAAGUAGUGUGAAUUGCAGAAUUCAGUGAAUCAUCGAAUCUUUGAACGCACAUUGCGCCCCUCGGUAUUCCGUGGGGCAUGCCUGUUCGAGCGUCAUUUAACCCCUCAAGCCUAGCUUGGUAUUGGGUGCUUGUCCCGCCUCUCGCGCGGCGACUCACCUCAAAGUCAUUGGCAGCCCGCAUCUCGCCGGCCGUGAGCGCAGCACAGACGCGCUCUUGGCAACGACGGAUCGGCUCUCCAAAAGCUUAUUUCAACCACUGACCUCGGAUCAGGUAGGGAUACCCGCUGAACUUAAGCAUAUCAAAGCGGAGGA